AGAGUUUGAUCAUGGCUCAGAAUCAACGCUGGCGGCGUGCCUAACACAUGCAAGUCGAACGCGAAAGUCCCGCAAGGGAUAAGUAGAGUGGCAAACGGGUGAGUAACACGUGGGUGACCUGCCUUCGAGCGGGGGAUAACGUCCCGAAAGGGACGCUAAUACCGCAUAACAUCCUGCUUUUUAAGAGGUGGAGAUCAAAGCUGGGGAUCGCAAGACCUAGCACUCGAAGAGGGGCCCGCGUCCGAUUAGCUAGUUGGUGGGGUAACGGCUCACCAAGGCAACGAUCGGUAGCCGGCCUGAGAGGGCGGACGGCCACACUGGGACUGAGACACGGCCCAGACUCCUACGGGAGGCAGCAGUGGGGAAUUGUUCGCAAUGGGCGCAAGCCUGACGACGCAACGCCGCGUGGAGGAUGAAGAUCUUCGGGUCGUAAACUCCUUUCGAUCGAGACGAAUUCCUUUGCGGUGAACAAUCGCGAAGGUUGACGGUACCGAGAGAAGAAGCCCCGGCUAACUCCGUGCCAGCAGCCGCGGUAAUACGGGGGGGGCAAGCGUUGUUCGGAAUUACUGGGCGUAAAGGGCUCGUAGGCGGCCAACUAAGUCAGACGUGAAAUCCCUCGGCUUAACCGGGGAACUGCGUCUGAUACUGGAUGGCUUGAGUUUGGGAGAGGGAUGCGGAAUUCCAGGUGUAGCGGUGAAAUGCGUAGAUAUCUGGAGGAACACCGGUGGCGAAGGCGGCAUCCUGGACCAACACUGACGCUGAGGAGCGAAAGCCAGGGGAGCAAACGGGAUUAGAUACCCCCGUAGUCC
rnacentral:rRNA from 1 species